GACGAACGCUGGCGGCGUGCUUAACACAUGCAAGUCGAACGGAAAGGCCCUGCUUUCGCGGUACUCAAGUGGCGAGCGGGUGGGUAACACAUGGGUGGACUACCCUGCACUUCGGGAUAGGCUUGUUAAAGUAGGUCUAGUACCGGAUAGGAGACAUCUUGAGUGUGAGGGUUGGAAAGUUUUUUCGGUGUAGGCUGAGCUCGCGGCCUAUCAGCGUGUUGGUAAGGUAACGGCUUACCAAGGCGGCGAUGCGUAGCCGACCUGAGAGGGUGUACGGCCACACUGGAACUGAGACACGGUCCAGACUCCGACGGGAGGCAGCAGUAGGGAAUCUUCCGCGAAGGGCGAAAGCCUGACGGAGCAGCGCCGCCUGAAUGAUGAAGGUCUUCGGAUCGUAAAACUCUGUUAUUAGUGAAGAACAAAUUUGUAAGUAACGAUGCACGUCUUGACGGUACCUAGUCAGAAAGCCACGGCUAACUACGUG
rnacentral:rRNA from 1 species